rnacentral:rRNA from 1 species
GAACGAGAAAGUGGAGCAAUCCAUGAGUAAAGUGGCGACCGGGUGAGUAACACGUGACUAACCUACCUUCGAGUGGGGGAUAACCUCGGGAAACCGGGGCUAAUACCGCAUAAUGCCGAAAGGUUAAAGGAGCAAUUCGCUUGAAGAGGGGGUCGCGGCUGAUUAGCUAGUUGGCGGGGUAACGGCCCACCAAGGCGAUGAUCGGUAGCCGGCCUGAGAGGGCGCACGGCCACACUGGAACUGAAACACGGUCCAGACUCCUACGGGAGGCAGCAGUGGGGAAUUUUGCGCAAUGGGGGAAACCCUGACGCAGCAACGCCGCGUGGAGGAUGAAGUCCUUUGGGACGUAAACUCCUUUCGACCGGGACGAUGAUGACGGUACCGGUGGAAGAAGCCCCGGCUAACUUCGUG